CUGGGAGCCACAAGUGAGAGCUGGGUGUCAGGUAGGGGUCAGAGGCUGGAGAGCUGCCCUAGGAGGGCACGACAAGCCCUCCAUACCAAGGUGCUACCCCUCCCUGAGCACCCAAAGAAAUUAAAGCACAGGGGAAGAAAAAGAAAAGGAAAGGAAAGAACAUCAACAAGCAGGAAAGGAACCAGAGGAGAGCAUCUAGGAGAUAAGAUUAUUCAUUUGUUAUGAUGAGCCAUUUAACAGUGUAAAGGAGUUUUGUGGCAAAAAUCUCCUCUUUUGAAUCUGGGAAGAAUAUAAACUGAUGCAAAUUGGAGUGAGCCAGAACCAAAAGAAUAAUACACAGAAACAGCAAUAUUUUAACAUUGAUCAUCUGCAAAAGACUUUGCUACUCUGAUCAGUACAAUGAUCCAAGAAAAUUCUAAAAGAUUGAUAAUAAAAUGCUGUCAAAUUCCA
rnacentral:lncRNA from 1 species